rnacentral:rRNA from 1 species
UACGUAGGAGGCAAGCGUUGUCCGGAUUUACUGGGCGUAAAGCGCCCGCAGGCGGUCCAGCAAGUUCGGAGUGACAGUUCCCGGCUUAACUGGGAAAGUGCUUCGAAAACUGUUUGACUUGAGGGCUUGAGAGGAAUGCGGAAUUCCAGGUGGAGCGGUGAAAUGCGUAGAGAUCUGGAGGAACACCAAAGGCGAAGGCAGCAUUCUGGCAAGUACUUGACGCUCAGGGGCGAAAGCUAGGGGAGCGAACGGG